GGGGGCGUGUAUUUUGAGGAGGCGUGUCUUGUAUGGAGGGCGUGUAUUUAGUCGGCCCUGAUUGGUCUGAUUCACGACGGCGUCUGGCGUCACACAUAGCCUCGUGCAGAGCCAUAAUCUAUUCUAUUUGACAUUUGCGGAUCUCUUCUCUUGUCGAACCUACUCCGGAGAUUUAACGAACUGGUCAACAGCAGUUAGAUAGCAGAAAGAUGAUUGCCUCGAUUGAUUUGAUCCAUCCAACUGUCUGCAAACAUGGAUCUCUGAUGCAGCCAGUGCGGUUGGGAGAUUCUUACGGGUGCCAAGUUUGCAGAAAAUUUGGCGAUUACCCAGCCAUGGUUGCACAUGUUCAAACACAUGACAGAGCAGCCAUAUCUCACAAUGGCUACAAAAUCUAUAGGUGCCAACACAACUGUGCCAACACAAGAUCUCCACACUACCACUGUGUGUGCUCAACCUUUACUGGCAGCAAAAUGUCAUGCAUAAAGCACCUGCAGACCUGCCCUGGCAUGAGGACACCACCUCCAUCUCAAGGCCUCAGCACGCCGAGCCCAAUGCCAGCCACGCACCCGCCACCUCCAUCUCAAGGCCUCAGCACGCCAAGCCCAAUGCCUAUAAUAAAAAAAUGUAGCCUACCCUUAUGGCCCGAGUCAUGUUUCCCUUACUAAGAAUUCCCUAUGGUAUGCAUA